CCAAUAACUGAACAAAGCUAAAGUUAAACAGCUACCACCACGACCAAAGAUCGUGGUCU
rnacentral:rRNA from 1 species